GCCACUGGAAGCUUACAUGGUCGUUAACUUCAGGGCCCGUGGGAUUAGUCGUGGUGCGCACAAGUUGGCCCGGACACUCCACGUAAAUCAAAAAAAAAAAA